rnacentral:tRNA from 1 species
CGGGGCGUGGCUCAGCUUGGUAGAGCACCUGCCUUGGGAGCAGGGGGUCGCAGGUUCAAAUCCUGCCGCUCCGACCA